ensembl:lncRNA
ACCCCAGGGAAGCGGCCUCGUGUCGCCCCCUGCUGGCCGCGGACUUACAGCCACGACGGCACUUCCCCCGCGCCUGGUUCCCUGCGCCUGCGCUCUAGGUGGUGGGCGCCUGCUUCUCGGUUCCCCACGACUCCCCUCCUCGCUCAGGCAGCGACUGUUUCUUUCCAGAGCUUCGCGUCUUACGUCUUGGCACAGGGUGAGCAACUAGGUCCUUCAAGACCAUGGGGUGACAGUUCUCUACUGUGCUUGCCGACUGAAGAGAAUCAUUACCUUCAACCGAAGAGAUAAAACAGGACUGCAGGAAUAUGUCAGGGGAAGGCGGGUCCCCUUAAGGAUCAGGAGGACAGGCUUUCCCAGACCCUUCUUCUGUCUUGUGGGAAGGACUUUUCCUGGCUGAGGGCUGUUGUCCAGAAGAAUAGUCACAGAGGGGAGUCUGAGGCUGCUGCUGUCAUCCCUCAAUCUGGCCACCUCGGACUAUUGGUUUCUGUGGCUCAAUCUUGUUGCAUGUGUAGAAUUGGAGGAUGUGGCCCAUGACUAUUAAUUCGUUGGUAUAUCAGAACGUGGAAGCCUGGCAGUCCUCGGGUCACUGGUCUGGGAUGUGGUAUGCUCCUGACCAGGACAGUGGCUACCAGGGGACAUUGGUAUGGCCAGAUGUGUGGCUUGUGUGAGUGGGAAUCAUCUGAACGGAGCCUGGAGGAUGCCACUGGGAAUUCGUGGAGUUUUACAUACAGGACCCAUUUUAGCAUCAAACGGAAUGCUGUAUUCCUCAGGGCCGAAUGAAUGACUGAGCAAGGCUAUGACAGAUGUGCUGGUAAUUAACAGGUAGUAGAAAGUGACCAGGACCUUUAAGACAGUUGUCCCCAAAGGGAGCUGAGAGUUCACAGGAGAAAGACAAUCUUCUUGUGUUCGGAGAAGGCUGAAUGAAGGACAUGGUGUUGUACUCAUCGAGACAUUAGUUGCAAGCUGGGCGAUCCCUGGAACCUAAAGCAUGAAUCCAAAACAAAUGAGACCUUCAAGAAAAAGGAGGAGGUAUCCUACUUUGGCAGAGAGAUUUGAGUCACCAGCUUGGUGAGAAGCUCACAGCAACCUUCAGAGAAAUUUCAUGCCCUUGAAGGUUCCUGCAAGACCCAUUUUACCCUUUUUCCUCCUUAACCUCCACUCUGCUAGACCUGGCCCAUGGCGGUCAUGAAAAUGCGACUGUCAGAUUUUCAACUCCAGGAGGGUGAUUGAUGGAGGUCCUCAGCUGCUGCACUCUGAAUCCGUCACCUCCUUAGUGUUGAGGCCAUGCUUCCCACCGUGG